CCAGACUCCUACGGAGGCAGCAGUGGGGAAUAUUGCACAAUGGGGGAAACCCUGAUGCAGCGACGCCGCGUGAGUGAAGAAGUAAUUCGUUAUGUAAAGCUCUAUCAGCAGGGAAGAAAAUGACGGUACCUGACUAAGAAGCCCCGGCUAACUACGUGCCAGCAGCCGCGGUAAUACGUAGGGGGCAAGCGUUAUCCGGAUUUACUGGGUGUAAAGGGAGCGUAGACGGAAUUGCAAGUCUGAAGUGAAAGGCGGGGGCCCAACCCCCGGACUGCUUUGGAAACUGUAUGGCUGGAGUGCAGGAGAGGUAAGUGGAAUUCCUAGUGUAGCGGUGAAAUGCGUAGAUAUUAGGAGGAACACCAGUGGCGAAGGCGGCUUACUGGACUGUAACUGACGUUGAGGCUCGAAAGCGUGGGGAGCAAACAGGAUUAGAUACCCGCGUAGA
rnacentral:rRNA from 1 species